CGUGUAGGCGGGGGAAUGUGUCAGAAGUGAAAUCGCGCGGCUUAACCGUGUCAAUGGCUUCUGAAACUGUUCCUCUUGAAUGCAGCAGAGGCAGAUGGAAUUCCAGGUGUAGCGGUGGAAUGCGUAGAUAUCUGGAAGAACACCGGUGGCGAAGGCGGUCUGCUGGGCUGUGAUUGACGCUGAGGCGCGAAAGUGUGGGGAGCAAACAGGAUUAGAUACCCUGGUAGUCCACACCAUAAACGAUGGUUACUAGAUGUCGGAGGAUUCGACCCCUUCGGUAUCGACGCUAACGCAUUAAGUAACCCACCUGGGGAGUACGCUCGCAAGGGUGAA
rnacentral:rRNA from 1 species